rnacentral:rRNA from 1 species
AAGCGCGGGUAAACGGCGGGAGUAACUAUGACUCUCUU